GAUGAACGCUGGCGGCGUGCUUAACACAUGCAAGUCGAACGAUGAAGCCCAGCUUGCUGGGUGGAUUAGUGGCGAACGGGUGAGUAACACGUGAGUAACCUGCCCUUAACUCUGGGAUAAGCCUGGGAAACUGGGUCUAAUACCGGAUAGGAGCGCCUACCGCAUGGUGGGUGUUGGAAAGAUUUAUCGGUUUUGGAUGGACUCGCGGCCUAUCAGCUUGUUGGUGAGGUAAUGGCUCACCAAGGCGAGGACGGGUAGCCGGCCUGAGAGGGUGACCGGCCACACUGGGACUGAGACACGGCCCAGACUCCUACGGGAGGCAGCAGUGGGGAAUAUUGCACAAUGGGCGAAAGCCUGAUGCAGCGACGCCGCGUGAGGGAUGACGGCCUUCGGGUUGUAAACCUCUUUCAGUAGGGAAGAAGCGAAAGUGACGGUACCUGCAGAAGAAGCACCGGCUAACUACGUG
rnacentral:rRNA from 1 species